CGGCUCGUAGCUCAAUGGUAGAGCAGCGCUCUUAUAAGGCGCGGGUUGCAGGUUCGAUCCCUGCCGAGCCGA
rnacentral:tRNA from 1 species